AGUGAACGCUGGCGGUAGGCCUAACACAUGCAAGUCGAACGGCAGCACAGUAAGAGCUUGCUCUUACGGGUGGCGAGUGGCGGACGGGUGAGGAAUACAUCGGAAUCUACUUUUUCGUGGGGGAUAACGUAGGGAAACUUACGCUAAUACCGCAUACGACCUACGGGUGAAGGCAGGGGAUCUUCGGACCUUGCGCGAUUGAAUGAGCCGAUGUCGGAUUAGCUAGUUGGCGGGGUAAAGGCCCACCAAGGCGACGAUCCGUAGCUGGUCUGAGAGGAUGAUCAGCCACACUGGAACUGAGACACGGUCCAGACUCCUACGGGAGGCAGCAGUGGGGAAUAUUGGACAAUGGGCGCAAGCCUGAUCCAGCCAUACCGCGUGGGUGAAGGAGGCCUUCGGGUUGUAAAGCCCUUUUGUUGGGAAAGAAAAGCAGCAGGUUAAUACCCCGCUGUUCUGACGGUACCCAAAGAAUAAGCACCGGCUAACUUCGUG
rnacentral:rRNA from 1 species